rnacentral:misc_RNA from 1 species
GAUGAAGAACGUAGCGAAAUGCGAUAAGUAAUGUGAAUUGCAGAAUUCAGUGAAUCAUCGAAUCUUUGAACGCACAUUGCGCCCGCCAGUAUUCUGGCGGGCAUGCCUGUUCGAGCGUCAUUUCAACCAUCAAGCCCCCGGCUUGUGUUGGGGACCUGCGGCUGCCGCAGGCCCUGAAAAGCAGUGGCGGGCUCGCUGUCACACCGAGCGUAGUAGCAUACAUCUCGCUCUGGGCGUGCUGCGGGUUCCGGCCGUUAAACCACCUUCAUAACCCAAGGUUGACCUCGGAUCAGGUAGGAAGACCCGCUGAACUUAAGCAUAUCAAUAAGAGGA